rnacentral:lncRNA from 1 species
GCUGGCUGUUGAGCCUUCCUAGUUCACCAGUGAUCUCUUCCUCCACCCAGAUCUCUUAACAUUUAUUGGCCAAAUAGUCCAUUUGAUUUGGUACUUACAGAAUGAGAGACUUUUGGAGAGAGCUGGAAAGGCUUUAGAAACCAUGUAUUGCCUUCUAGUGUGUAUAUCUCUGGAAGCUAUUUGGAGGCUGGAGUACUUCUAUUUCACAACUUCAUUCCAACAAAUAUAUAUUUUGCAUCUAUUAUGUGCAGAGCACUGUGCAAGGCACUGUGAUGGUGAUGGUGUGGAAGCAGAGUUUAAGAGAUGUGCUACCUGUUCUUAUGGAUCUCAAAAUCCAGUAGGAGCUAUGAAGUUGGAUGUGGCCUGCAUGAAAAUCCUGCAGAGGAGACUGAGAGACUGAGGGAAAUGGUAGGAGAAGAACUGUUUCGGGAGCGCUCAGAGAUUAAAGAGUUGUUUGUCCUUCAUUUUUGAAGAGGAACAAUGACAUUGUGGUGUGAUGUCUUGACUCUGGAGUGAAUUGGAUUUAAUUGAGGCACAAUUUCACAAAGUUCUCAGCUUCACUUUCUCUUCCAGAGUCAUCAAAGUCCAGCAGCAAGACAAAAGUCAGUACAACUGGUGAUGGCCCAGGAUACAGCAGAUGACCUUGGCAUCUCUGAUGUCUGACCAAGCUCUAAGUGCUCUGCAGCCUCUACUUCAGUUGCCUUCAUGGACUUUGGAACAAAUUGUUCCCAUGCACCCAUACUGCUAGGGGAAGUUUCACACAUUUGCGGUAUACACCCCCCUAAUUCAUUGACUAGUUUGAGUAAAGAAUAAUAAGGAGAAAGUAUAGGAAUGGGGAUUGCCAUUAGAUUUGGUAAUUAAGAGAUCAUUAAUAACUGUGGAGUGAUAUUUAAAGUUAGAAGUAAUCUUUAAAAUCAUCUAGGCUUGAAACCAUAAAACCAAAGAUGAAAGAGACCCCAGAGGUUAUCUAGUCCACUUCUCUUAUCUCAUAAAUGCAGAAAUUAAAGCCUAAAGUCACCUAAACAGUAAGACCAAAAGAGGGACCUGCACUAUUUCCUCUGAUUCAUGCAACCUCUCUAUCAAUCCCUUCCUACAAAUAAGGAAAAAGAUGAUUAGUGGGUCUAGGUGUCUUAACUAAAAGGUAUUGAGUAGUAGAGUUAGGAUUUGAAUCCAGUUCUUCUGACUCCAAAUUCAGUACUCUUUUCA